UACGUAGGGGGCAAGCGUUGUCCGGAUUUACUGGGCGUAAAGCGCGUGUAGGCGGGAAGGCACGUCGGUCGCUGAAAUCCCCCGGCUCAACCGGGGAAGUGGCGCCGAUACGACCUUCCUGGAGGGACGUAGGGGGGCCUGGAACUUCCGGUGGAGCGGUGAAAUGCGCAGAUAUCAGGAGGAACACCGGUGGCGAAGGCGGGUCUCUGGGCCGAAACUGACGCUGAGGAGCGAAAGCGUGGGGAGCAAACAGG
rnacentral:rRNA from 1 species